rnacentral:rRNA from 1 species
GACGAACGCUGGCGGCGUGCCUAGUACAUGCAAGUCGAGCGCAGGAAACUGACGGAACUCUUCGGAGGGAAGGCAGUGGAAUGAGCGGCGGACGGGUAAGUAACACGUAAGGAACCUGCCUCAAGGAUUGGGAUAACUCCGAGAAAUCGGAGCUAAUACCGGAUAGUUCAACGGACCGCAUGGUCCGCUGAUGAAAGGCGCUCCGGCGUCACCUUGAGAUGGCCUUGCGGUGCAUUAGCUGGUUGGUGGGGUAACGGCCCACCAAGGCGACGAUGCAUGGCCGACCUGAGAGGGUGAUCGGCCACACUGGGACUGAGACACGGCCCAGACUCCUACGGGAGGCAGCAGUAGGGAAUCUUCCACAAUGGACGAAAGUCUGAUGGAGCAACGCCGCGUGAGUGAUGAAGGUUUUCGGAUCGUAAAACUCUGUUGUAAGGGAAGAACACGUACGAGAGGGAAUGCUCGUACCUUGACGGUACCUUACGAGAAAGCCACGGCUAACUACGUGCCAGCCGCCGCGGUAAAAC